rnacentral:misc_RNA from 1 species
GUUGGAGUUGGCUGGAAAUGCUGCUAGAGACAACAAGAAGAAUCGAAUUGUGCCUAGGCACAUUCAAUUGGCUGUGAGGAAUGAUGAGGAGUUGAGCAAGCUUUUGGGUCAAGUUACCAUUGCUAAUGGAGGUGUUUUGCCCAACAUUCACCAGAAUUUGUUGCCUAAGAAGGCUGGCUCUGGGAAAGGUGAUAUUGGCUCUGCAUCUCAGGAGUUUUAGAUGUAAAUGGGGUGUUAUGUUUUGGGAAGUAUUAGGAGAAAGGAGUAGAACUGUUAUGUAAUAUAAAAAAAAUACCCUUUUGUUAUUCUGUUAUUUAAUGGUAUGAAAUGAAGAAAAAAGGGCAAUAGCCACCUGCAG